rnacentral:rRNA from 1 species
GACGAACGCUGGCGGCGUGCUUAACACAUGCAAGUCGAACGGUAAGGCCCUUCGGGGUACACGAGUGGCGAACGGGUGAGUAACACGUGGGUGAUCUGCCCUGCACUUCGGGAUAAGCCGGGGAAACUGGGUCUAAUACCGGAUAGGACCAUGCGCUUCCCGGGGUGUGGUGGAAAGCUUUUGCGGUGUGGGAUGGGCGCGCGGCCUAUCAGCUUGUUGGGGGGGUAAUGGCCUACCAAGGCCACGACGGGUAGCCGGCCUGCGAGGGUGAGCGGCCACACUGGGACUGAGAUACGGCCCAGACUCCUACGGGAGGCAGCAGUGGGGAAUAUUGCACAAUGGGCGCAAGCCUGAUGCAGCGACGCCGCGUGAGGGAUGACGGCCUUCGGGUUGUAAACCUCUUUCAGUAGGGACGAAGCGCAAGUGACGGUACCUACAGAAGAAGGACCGGCCAACUACGUGCCAGCCGCCGCCGUAA